CCUCACGCGCCUGUCCGACGCCGGACGGGUAUCGAAUCGGGCUCGGUCCCGAUAUAUCUCUAGGGGGUGGCCACCCUCGCCUGCCAUUCGCACGCGAAACCCGCGCGCGACGAGUAACCCGAGCGGAGCGGAGUGUCGGCGAGGUAUUCCAAUUCGAGAACUUGAUCGGUUCCCAACUCCUGACGUGCGGAGGAUCGUGGACAAAAACAUCCCCCGCAGGAAACGAACUCGUAAACAAUUAAAUAAGAAACGGAAGCUUCGGGGAGAAGGAACUGUUCGUCGGAACUGAUUUUAGUCGAUCGUGGUGAAAGAGGAGAAAGAGACGAAAGGAGUCGGGGUGGACGAAGGACGAAGAGAAGAGUGACAUUCGCGCGAGGAGAUUCGCGGGCGAUCGAACGAGUACGCAGCAGCGUCGUGAAGAGGGUGAAAGAGAAAGAGAGGGAGAGAGAGAAAGAGAGAGAGAGAGGGAGGGAGAGGGAGAGGGAGAGGGAGAGAGUGAGAGAGAAAAAGUGUUCGAUUAGUCUGGCGACGAGGUCGAUCGGGCGAGGACGAUGGCAGUGAGCGCUUUCUCGACGACAUUGCACACCACCGAUUUUGCCACUACGUGUCCCACUACACCCGCGCUCUGGACCGAGGCGUUGCUACCACCCGAAGACGAGGAGGAGAACGUCCUGCACAUCGGUGGCAUCUUCCCUGUAGCUGGAGAGGGCGGCUGGCAAGGUGGCCAGGCUUGCAUGCCAGCUGCGCGCCUGGCCUUAGAGGACGUUAAUCGCGAAAAGAACUUGUUACGCGGAUAUAGACUGCACCUCCAUUCCAACGAUAGCGAGUGCGAGCCCGGCCUCGGCGCAUCCGUAAUGUACAACUUACUAUACUUUCCACCCUAUAAAUUAAUGCUGUUGGCUGGGUGCAGUACGGUAUGCACUACAGUCGCCGAGGCGGCGAAGAUGUGGAACUUGGUGGUGCUCUGCUACGGUGCAUCGUCGCCGGCGCUGUCUGACCGAAAUCGAUUCCCGACCUUGUUCAGAACGCAUCCUUCCGCCACUGUGCACAAUCCCACGAGAAUCAAAUUGUUGCAAAAGUUCGGCUGGUCUCGGGUAGCGAUAUUGCAGCAAGCCGAAGAAGUAUUUAUAUCGACCGUCGAAGAUCUAGAAGCACGAUGUAAGGAAGCUGGGAUAGAGAUAGUCACUCGUCAAAGCUUCCUGUCGGAUCCCACGGAUGCCGUGAAGAAUCUACGUCGUCAGGACGCUCGGAUAGUCGUCGGUUUGUUCUACGUCGUAGCCGCGAGACGGGUGCUCUGCGAGCUCUAUCACCAGAAGCUGUACGGCCAGUCCUACGUGUGGUUCUUCAUUGGCUGGUACGAGGAUGAUUGGUUCGAGAUUAAUCUGGAAAAGGAAGGCAUCACCUGUACGAAGGAGCAAAUGCGAAUGGCAGCGGAGGGACACCUGACCACCGAGGCACUUAUGUGGAAUCAGAAUAACGACACGACAAUCAGCGGCAUGACCGCCGAGGACUUCCGAAAGAGAUUGAACAAGUUGCUGAAAGAUGACGGUUACGACAUAGAUAACGAUCGAUAUCCGGAAGGAUAUCAGGAAGCGCCCCUCGCCUACGACGCCGUUUGGUCCGUCGCUCUUGCGUUCAACAGAACCAUGGAAAGGCUAAGCAAGUUGGGGAACAGUUUGAAGAACUUCACUUACGAAAACAAAGAGAUCGCCGACGAGAUAUACGCGGCGGUAAACUCGACCCAGUUUCUCGGAGUUUCCGGUCACGUCGCGUUUAGCUCGCAGGGUGAUAGAAUCGCUCUGACGCAAAUAGAGCAGGUGAUUGACGGGAAGUACGUUAAAUUAGGGUACUACGAUACACAAAGUGACAAUCUGACAUGGCGAAACGUAGAGCGAUGGAUCGGUGGCAAGGUGCCGCAGGAUAGAACAAUAAUAAGAAACGUUUUAAGAACAGUGUCACUGCCCUUAUUCAUAAGUAUGGCGGCCUUGUCGGUGAUCGGUAUCAUAAUAGCCAUCGGAUUGAUCGUAUUUAGUGUCUAUAAUAGGCACCGAAGAGUUAUAUAUUCGUCUCAUCCCAGCGCCAACACGAUAAUGCUAGUAGGAAUAAUAAUCUGCUUCUUGGCCGUGUUGUGUAUAGGAGUUGACGGUAGGUUUGUGACGCCGUGGCAGUUUUUGAUAGUCUGCCAGGCUAGAGCGUGGACGAUGUCGGUCGGUUUCACCCUGGCGUUCGGUGCCAUGUUUAGUAAAGUGUGGAGGGUCCAUCGACUCUCUACGAAGGCAAAAGCCGAUCAAGGAAAAUCAUUGACGGCUAAACAAAAAGUUUCGUCUAUACAGAAGAAGAUUGAACCAUGGAAGCUGUACUGUAUGCUGGGCGGAUUGCUGUCGAUCGAUAUCAUCCUCCUCGUCACUUGGCAAGUAGUCGAUCCGUUGCAUCGAAGAAUCGAGACCUUCGCCCUGGAACUACCUCCUUAUGGAGACGAGGAUGCAAUGAUCAAACCCGAAUUGGAACAUUGUGAGAGCGAACACAAUAGCUUGUGGCUCGGCUUGAUCUAUGGCUAUAAAGGCAUUGUCCUUGCUUUCGGGCUCUUUCUAUCUUACGAAACGAGAAGCCUCAAAAUCAAACUGAUCAAUGAUUCCAGAUACGUGGGAAUGUCGAUAUAUAACAUCGUAGUUCUAUGUUUCAUUACGGUACCUGUUGUAAUGGUCAUCUCUAGCCAACAGGAUGCGAGUUAUGCCUUCUCGGCGCUAGCCACUAUCUUCUGUUGCUUCCUCAGCAUGGCUCUCAUCUUUGUACCGAAGGUCAUUGAAGUGAUCAGGCAUCCCAAAGAUAAGUCCGAGUCGAGGUACAACCCGGACAGUGCAGUAUCCAAGGAAGAAGAAGAGAAGUAUCAGAAACUGCUCAUCGAAAACGACGAUCUUCAGAAGCUCAUUGCUGCGAAAGAAGAAAAGAUUCAAGCCAUCAAGCAGAAGCUGGCUGAACGUGACGCCCUAAAAGGAACCGGCACAAGUCGUUGCAGACAAAGUCAGCCCAAACAGUCCUUCAUCAUUGCUGACUAUCCGACCGGCGAGGGAACAUCGGACAGUGCUAUCGGUGGGGGUAUUUCCAUUUGUACAAAAUCCUCCCGCGCUUCCGCUUCUGAUGUUGAGUUUUCAGAGACGUACUUAUAAUCUCCUCACACACGUGACACGAGUAAAGUCAGAGGACACCGCUAUGGACGUCCUUAUGCAUUCGCGCGAUACAUUUGGGACCUAAAGUUCUUUUCAAUCGAUCUCGGUGAUUAUCGUAACGCUUCGCUUUUAAAUCAAAUCAUAUUUCCGGUAUUAUUUAUCGCACGCAGCACAUCGCCGAAAUGUACGAACUGCACCGACUAUGAUGCCAAAGCAAUACACACAAACGAGCGCUACGCUUGCGACAAAACUCUCUUCUAAAACUAGUAUUAAAUCUAUAACGUGCACACGGUCAAUAUGCGAAUAUAAUAUGCGAGUCUUGGAACACGCCAAAC